GGGCCUGUGGUCUAGUGGCUAUGACAGUUCCUUUACACGGAACAGGUCGGGGGUUCAAAUCCCUCCGGGCCCA
rnacentral:tRNA from 1 species